CUGCCUCCUUUGGAGUGUUUGGUGAGCUCUGACUCUUAGGAACAGUUUGUUUGAGUCAUGGAGUUGUUAGGAUCUACUGGAAUAUUCCCUACAGUCUGUAUUUACUUUCCAGAGGGAGCAUACUAUAAGGCUGUAACCAGAUGAGCCUUGACUGAGCCAUACUGAGUACCAAAGGCACGUUACUUUCCAUGGGAGAUUUGGGACUGUACAUCUGAGCUGGGGUAAUUCACUUGGGUAGACUUCAAUGUAACCACAGAAAAGCACAAAACUGAAGCUUCCUUGUGAAAAGAGUAUGUUAAUGCUUUUGAAGCUUUUAAUUUUGUGUUUGUGUAAUGAAUUUGAAAGAAAUGACACAUGUAUGGAAUAUAAUGAACUUGAGAGAAGCAAAGUGAGCUGUUAAAAUUCAGGUGUGUGCUUACUAGGAAGACAGUGGCUUUUUGGGGUUCUGUAUUCUCCCCUGUUGUAUCUCUGGUGGCAUUCCUGGAGCUGUCCCCACACACCAGCUGUAAUACAGCC
ensembl:lncRNA